UCUCUGGUCGUAUAUCGGUUAGUACACGCGCUUGUCAUGCGAAGCCGUGCGCGCGAAAGCGGGGUUCGACUCCCCGCCAGAGAG